UCCGGUUUGUCACCGGCAGUCUCAGUAAAGUGCCCACCAUUACAUGCUGGCAAUUACCGACAAGGGUUGCGCUCGUUGCGGGACUUAACCCAACAUCUCACGACACGAGCUGACGACAGCCAUGCAGCACCUGUGUAUCUAUUCCCUUUCGGGCACAACGCCAUCUCUGGCGUCUUUAGACCAUGUCAAGGGUAGGUAAGGUUUUUCGCGUUGCAUCGAAUUAAUCCACAUCAUCCACCGCUUGUGCGGGUCCCCGUCAAUUCCUUUGAGUUUUAAUCUUGCGACCGUACUCCCCAGGCGGUCAACUUCACGCGUUAGCUGCGUUACCAAGACAAUUAAGUCCCGACAACUAGUUGACAUCGUUUAGGGCGUGGACUAC
rnacentral:misc_RNA from 1 species